rnacentral:rRNA from 1 species
GAUGAACGCUAGCUACAGGCUUAACACAUGCAAGUCGAGGGAACGACAUCGGAAGCUUGCUUUUGAUGGGCGUCGACCGGCGCACGGGUGAGUAACGCGUAUCCAACCUGCCCACCACUUGGGGAUAACCUUGCGAAAGUAAGACUAAUACCCAAUGACGUCUCUAGAAGACAUCUGAAAGGGAUUUAAAGAUUUAUCGGUGAUGGAUGGGGAUGCGUCUGAUUAGCUUGUUGCGGGGUAACGGCCCACCAAGGCGACGAUCAGUAGGGGGUUCUGAGAGGAAGGUCCCCCACAUUGGAACUGAGACACGGUCCAAACUCCUACGGGAGGCAGCAGUGAGGAAUAUUGGUCAAUGGGCGAGAGCCUGAACCAGCCAAGUAGCGUGCAGGAUGACGGCCCUAUGGGUUGUAAACUGCUUUUAUAAGGGAAUAAAGUUAGUCUCGUGAGACUUUUUGCAUGUACCUUAUGAAUAAGGACCGGCUAAUUCCGUG